UACAGAGGUCUCAAGCGUUGUUCGGAUUCAUUGGGCGUAAAGGGGGCGUAGGUGGCGCCGUAAGUCGGGGGUGAAAUUUCGGAGCUUAACUCCGAAACUGCAUUCGAUACUGCGGUGCUUGAGGACUGGAGAGGAGACUGGAAUUCAUGGUGUAGCAGUGAAAUGCGUAGAGAUCAUGAGGAAGACCAGUGGCGAAGGCGGGUCUCUGGACAGUUCCUGACACUGAGACACGAAGGCCAGGGGAGCAGACGGG
rnacentral:rRNA from 1 species